rnacentral:rRNA from 1 species
AUGGUUGGGGGUUCACUUUAUUGGUUGCUCACUGAGAACUUAAGCAUCCUUGAAUUUGAUCUGGAGAAGCAGCGCCUCGCUGUGAUAUCGGUGCCGGUGAAAAAGUACAGCCACUGCCGCUUCUCGAUUAUGCGGGCGGCGGGUGGUGGCCUUGGUUUCCUGUUUUUGCCAGACUACGACGCCCAAUUAUGGAAGAGGCACACUGAUUGUGAUGGUGUCGCUUCAUGGGUGCUUGAAAGAACUAUUGAACUGCACAAGCUACUUUCCAUGAAUUCAGAGGAGGGGAGAGGGCCCCUGAUGAUCGCAGGGUUUGCUGAGUACAAUAAUGUGGUCUUUUUGUGGACAGUCGUCGACCUCUUCAUGGUGGAGCUUCAGUCACUGAAGUUCAAGAAACUUUUCGAAGCCGACGUCUUGUCUUGCCGUCAUCCAUUCGAAAGUGUCUAUGUUGCAGAAAGAGGCACUGUUGGUGGACACAAUGGAGCUGAACUUUUGCGUAAUGAAUAA